AAUAGGUAUGCUUAGGGAGGAGCUUGCGUCACAUUAGUUAGUUGGUGGGGUAAAGGCCUACCAAGACUAUGAUGUGUAGCCGGGCUGAGAGGUUGAACGGCCACAUUGGGACUGAGACACGGCCCAAACUCCUACGGGAGGCAGCAGUAGGGAAUUUUCGGCAAUGGAGGAAACUCUGACCGAGCAACGCCGCGUGAACGAUGAAGUAUUUCGGUACGUAAAGUUCUUUUAUUAGGGAAGAAUAAAUGAUGGAAAAAUCAUUCUGACGGUACCUAAUGAAUAAGCCCCGGCUAACUAUGUGCCAGCAGCCGCGGUAAUACAUAGGGGGCAAGCGUUAUCCGGAAUUAUUGGGCGUAAAGGGUGCGUAGGCGGUUAAAUAAGUUUAUGGUCUAAGUGCAAUGCUCAACAUUGUGAUGCUAUAAAAACUGUUUAGCUAGAGUAAGAUAGAGGCAAGUGGAAUUCCAUGUGUAGUGGUAAAAUGCGUAAAUAUAUGGAGGAACACCAGUAGCGAAGGCGGCUUGCUGGGUCUUUGCUGACGCUGAGGCACGAAAGCGUGGGGAGCAAACAGGAUUAGAUACCCUGGUAGUACACGCCGUAAACGAUGAGUACUAAACGUUGGGUAAAACCAGUGUUGAAGUUAACACAUUAAGUACUCCGCCUGAGUAGUACGUACGCAAGUAUGAAACUUAAAGGAAUUGACGGGACUCCGCACAAGCGGUGGAUCAUGUUGUUUAAUUCGAAGGUACCCGAAAAACCUCACCAGGUCUUGACAUGCUUCUGCAAAGCUGUAGAAACACAGUGGAGGUUAUCAGUUGCACAGGUGGUGCAUGGUUGUCGUCAGCUCGUGUCGUGAGAUGUUGGGUUAAGUCCCGCAACGAGCGCAACCCUUAUUGUUAGUUACCAGCACGUAAUGGUGGGGACUUUAGCAAGACUGCCAGUGAUAAAUUGGAGGAAGGUGGGGACGACGUCAAAUCAUCAUGCCCCUUAUGACCUGGGCUACAAACGUGAUACAAUGGCUGUUACAAAGGGUAGCUGAAGCGCAAGUUUUUGGCGAAUCUCAAAAAAACAGUCUCAGUUCGGAUUGAAGUCUGCAACUCGACUUCAUGAAGUGGAAUCGCUAGUAAUCGCG
rnacentral:rRNA from 1 species